GCCCAGAUAGCUCAGUUGGGAGAGCGCUGCCCUGAAGAGGCAGUUGUCCCCGGUUCGAGUCCGGGUCUGGGCA
rnacentral:tRNA from 1 species